CCUACGGGCGGCAGCAGUGGGGAAUAUUGCACAAUGGGGGAAACCCUGAUGCAGCAACGCCGCGUGAAGGAAGACGGUUUUCGGAUUGUAAACUUCUGUUCUUAGUGAAGAAUAAUGACGGUAGCUAAGGAGCAAGCCCCGGCUAACUACGUGCCAGCAGCCGCGGUAAUACGGAGGAUGCGAGCGUUAUCCGGAUUUAUUGGGUUUAAAGGGUGCGUAGGCGGAAGGUUAAGUCAGCGGUCAAAUGUCGGUGCUCAACACCGGCCUGCCGUUGAAACUGGUCUUCUUGAGUGAGCGAGAAGUAUGCGGAAUGCGUGGUGUAGCGGUGAAAUGCAUAGAUAUCACGCAGAACUCCGAUUGCGAAGGCAGCAUACCGGCGCUCAACUGACGCUGAGGCACGAAAGCGUGGGGAUCGAACAGGAUUAGAUACCCGGGUAGUC
rnacentral:rRNA from 1 species